CUCAACAGCUUGUUAAGCAACUGUCCGAUAGGCGUACCGAUUUAGAGAAUUUUGCCAAUUUCAUCAAAGUUCAUGGUAAAAUAAAAAAGAAAGUGUCAUUUCUACAAGUUGAGGUCGAAUAUAUGAAAAGCAUUUUUGAGAUGAUUCGUGCUAGC